UCAUCUGUAUAAAUAACUACAAACAUAUUUGGAGGAAGAGAAGGAAACUAGAGUGAGAUGUGACAAGAAGAAAAUAAAAUCAACACAGGGAGAUAUACAAGUACCCAUCCUAAGAUGCUGCCCUCUCAGUGUGGACUUCAGAGAGAACACACAUGGAGCAUACGCAUAUUGAAGCCAGUGCCACCUGGCGAACCUGGGACCCCUGCAAUGGAAGCACAGAGUCUUACCCACUGGAACACCAGGGAAGUCCCCACUCUGAUGAAUUCUUCAGAGUAUUUCUCACUUCUUAUGGUGGAAGGAGGAAGUUUUCAUGUGACGUCCCUUCACCCUCUCUUUCUAUCUUGUGGGCAGAUUCACAGAAACAGCCAGGGUCACACAAUUGAACAGCAGUCAGAUUCCUCUCACCAUGGUAGAGCAGAACCCUUCCCAAGUACUGAGCUCAGAGGAGUCAACAGAAUCACACUGAGCUUGUCUGAAGAGAAAAAUUCACACCACUCCAGGAUUCACCUUAAUGGCCAGGCUCUCACUAACCAGGCCCCAGACCACAGACCUUUCCCUCUUUCUUCCUUUCUUAUCAAGCUUUCCUACUAUGUCUUAUACACCAUUUAG
rnacentral:lncRNA from 1 species